CUCCCGCCGCGCCCCGCGCCCGGCCCGCCGCCCCCGCCCCCCUACGGGAGGCAGCAGUGGGGAAUUUUGGACAAUGGGCGCAAGCCUGAUCCAGCCAUGCCGCGUGAGUGAAGAAGGCCUUCGGGUUGUAAAGCUCUUUUGGCGGGGACGAAACGGUCCGUGCUAACACCACGGACUAAUGACGGUACCCGCAGAAGAAGCCCCGGCUAACUACGUGCCAGCAGCCGCGGUAAUACGUAGGGUGCGGGCGUUAUCGGAAUUACUGGGCGUAAAGCGUGCGUNGGCGGUUUCUUAAGACAGGUGUGAAAUCCCCGGGCUUCACCUGGGAACUGCGCUUGUCACUGGCGGUCUGGAGUGUGGCGGAGGGGGGUGGAAUUNCAGGUGAAGCUNAGAAAAGUGAAGAAAWCUGGAGG
rnacentral:rRNA from 1 species